UUUUGCAGAGCACGACUUACAUCAACGGAGAAAACAUCAUGCCCUCUGCGGAUAUGAAAGAGAUGGUGACCCGUUACCAGGAGCUGUCAGUAGCUUUUGAUUCCAGCAAUUUAACAAACAAACAACUCAGUGCAGAGAUAGAGGAAUUGGUUAACGCUACUAGGAGUUUCAUCGGCCUUGUAAGUGAGAUC